UCUUCUCUCAGGUGAGCUGGGAGGAAUAUGCUUCAGCGAGAGUCCACAUGGCUUACCUCACAGGGGACAGAGGGAUCAUGGAUGAAGAUGGUUCCUUCUGGUGGACUGGUAGAGCUGAUGAUGUCCCAGAUGGUCCAAUGCAAUAAUGGCAAUACUGGGGACUCAAUGAGCAAAAUGUGCAAAUUUUCCAACUACCUGGGACAAAGGCAUUGCUGUUACUCCUUCGAAAUCUCAAGUCCACACCCUUUGGAACUCAGACUCUCACCCUUGGAGACAGUCACUGGACAUCCAUGCAUUCGACCACUGCCCCUUUUGACCCACAGGUGGGAAAAGGGGAUAUAUUUCAAUAAUGCAAACAUCUAGUUGCUUCUAUUAAAACUAACCAUGUUGUAGCAGAGCAAUCUUUUCACAGGCCACUCCCAGCGGACACUUACCUUGAUCAUCACACCUUGCAACCUGGAGAGUCUCUCCAUUGGAAAAGACACCUCCACAGAGAUUCUCUUCAACCUCCCUUGAGAGGCCCUUAUCACAUACUGCUAACCAAACCUUGUGCUGCCAAAUCCCAGGGAAUGGACUCUUGGGUCCACGGGACACAUUUAAAGAAGGCACCAAACCCUGACUGGACCUGUACACCAGCUGGUGACAAGAAGUCCUUUGUAGAAACACUGUCUCCAAUGAAGUGAUGCUGGCUCACUGGUCUCAGUCUUGAGCAGAUACAGACUUCACAUGGGAAGUUCGUGAGUUUCUCCCAUCUAACCCUCCCUGUUCCUCAGGUGUCACUUGAGUAGUUUACAACUGCCAUGCACAUUCCCUCCAACAUGAGACA